rnacentral:rRNA from 1 species
CUACAAUGGGUGGUACAGUAGGUUGCAAUGGGGUGACCCGGAGCCAAUCCUAAAAACCAUCCUCAGUUCAGAUUGCAGGCUGAAACCCGCCUGCAUGAAGCCGGAGUUGCUAGUAACCGCAGGUCAGCAUACUGCGGUGAAUACGUUCUCGGGCCUU